GAUGAAGAACGUAGCGAAAUGCGAUAAGUAGUGUGAAUUGCAGAAUUCAGUGAAUCAUCGAAUCUUUGAACGCACAUUGCGCCCAUUGGUAUUCCAAUGGGCAUGCCUGUUCGAGCGUCAUUUGUACCCUCAAGCUUUGCUUGGUGUUGGGCGUUUGUCUUUCGAGACUCACCUUAAAAAGAUUGGCAGCCGGCAUACUGGUUUCGGAGCGCAGCACAAAUUGCGGUCUGUUCCUGAAUGUUGACGUCCAUGAAGCCCCCAUUAUCACUUUUGACCUCGGAUCAGGUAGGGAUACCCGCUGAACUUAAGCAUAUCAAUAAGCGGAGGA
rnacentral:misc_RNA from 1 species